AUCGCUGUGACUUUUCAAGCAGACCGCUUCUACAUUAUGCAAGUAUUGGCAUUAUGAUGAAAACUUGCUCACUUCGAGUGUUGUCAUUGUCUUCCAUAAUGAAGGAUGGUCAACCCUCAUGAGAACAGUCCACAGUGUAAUUAAAAGGACUCCAAGGAAAUAUUUAGCAGAAAUUGUGUUAAUUGACGAUUUCAGUAAUAAAGAGCACUUAAAAGAAAAACUAGAUGAAUAUAUUAAGCUGUGGAAUGGCCUAGUGAAGGUAUUUCGAAAUGAAAGAAGGGAAGGUUUAAUUCAAGCACGAAGUAUUGGUGCUCAGAAGGCUAAACUUGGACAGGUAGGAAGCAUUUGAUAUCUACAAUGCCAACAUUUUGGGUUUGGUAACUAAAUCAUACACAUUUUUGAUCAUUCUUCAGUUUUUUUAAUUGAAAUGAGAAUGCUGGCUUAAACAGAUAACUUAUGUGUCAGAACUGACUAUAAUGCUAAUUUUUAUUAGCAUCUAAUUUUAAAUUGUGUGUAAUAUAUGAUGUAAUGUAUAUGAGGAGUAUUCUUUCACCUGCCUCUUUUUUUU
rnacentral:sRNA from 1 species